rnacentral:lncRNA from 1 species
GUGCUUGUUUCUUUGUUAAAUGAACAAAGAACUUGAGAAGAAAGCACAAAGGCAUGGACACUUUAUGUGCCAUGUUUCUUCACUUACAAAUUGUUGUAUGAAGAAAUGAGAGUUGCCUUGUACAACUCUUGAAAGUUUGUAAUUAUGUUUAGAACAUAAUGGUUGGUUGACAAAAAUAGUCCAUUAACAUGGACUUAUGAUGAUUUUGAAUCAUUGAGUGUUGAAGUGAUAAAACCACUUAAUGAGACGGAAACUAGGCAAGGACUUCACCUUUGUGUCCCUAUCCUAAUGGUUCACUAAGUUUAUUGUAAACUAUGUAGUGAACAAUAACCACACACUCUCCAAAUUGUUUGAUGUGUAUAACACAAUUGAAAUAAGUUUCAAGAGAGA